GCAUAUCAAUAAGCGGAGGAAAAGAAACUAACAAGGAUUCCCUUAGUAACGGCGAGUGAAGCGGGAAGAGCUCAAAUUUGAAAUCUUCAAGGUUCUACCUUGACGAAUUGUAGUUUAAAGAAGUGUUUACUGUUAGAUGAGUAGCAAAAGUUCCUUGGAAUGGGACAUCAUAGAGGGUGAGAAUCCCGCAUUUGGUUAUUCAUUCUAGCUUUGUGAUACACUUUCAAAGAGUCGGAUUGUUUGGGAAUGCAGUCCAAAAUGGGUGGUAAAUUUCAUCUAAAGCUAAAUAUUGGCGAGAGACCGAUAGCGAACAAGUACCGUGAGGGAAAGAUGAAAAGAACUUUGAAAAGAGAGUUAAACAGUACGUGAAAUUGUCAAAAGGGAAGCGUUUGACACCAGUGUUGUUUUUCCGAAAAUCAAUUACGAAUGGCUUGAUUUUGUGUUGUAUUGACCUUAUCAGCUUUCUGCACUUUUUUCGAGUCUUUCUUAAUGCACUUUUCGGUUAACAAGUCAACAUCAAUUUCUUUUGUUGUAAAAGAGUAUUCGGAAGGUGGCUUUCUUUUCGGAGAAAGUGUUUAUAGCCCUAUACUUCUACAAUCGGAGAGAUUGAGGUCUGCAGCGUAGAUCCUUCGGGGUUAGAUACAUUUGUGCUAAGUUGUAGCUUUUCAUAGACAACUUGUUGACUAUGUUUAGUCAUGCGGCUUACUCGCUUAUGCUAUUUUACCUACGCUUAGGAUGUUGACAAAAUGGUUUUAAACGACCCGUCUUGAAACACGGACC
rnacentral:rRNA from 1 species